AGGAAAGGAUUACUCGCGCCUCGUUAGAAUCAGACAUGGCUUCAGGGGAUGCAGGACGCUCCCCUGAGCUGCCUGUCACCGACUAAGUGGAGCAGUGUUUCUUCCGCAGACUCAACUGAGAAGUCAGCCUCUGGGGCAGGCACCAGGAAUCUGCCUUUUCAGUUCUGUCUCCGGCAGGCUUUGAGGAUGAAGGCUGCGGGCAUUCUGACCCUCAUUGGCUGCCUGGUCACAGGCGCCGAGUCCAAAAUCUACACUCGUUGCAAACUGGCAAAAAUAUUCUCGAGGGCUGGCCUGGACAAUUACUGGGGCUUCAGCCUUGGAAACUGGAUCUGCAUGGCAUAUUAUGAGAGCGGCUACAACACCACAGCCCAGACGGUCCUGGAUGACGGCAGCAUCGACUAUGGCAUCUUCCAGAUCAACAGCUUCGCGUGGUGCAGACGCGGAAAGCUGAAGGAGAACAACCACUGCCAUGUCGCCUGCUCAGCCUUGAUCACUGAUGACCUCACAGAUGCAAUUAUCUGUGCCAGGAAAAUUGUUAAAGAGACACAAGGAAUGAACUAUUGAAGUCCUCAGCACAUGUUCUUCAUGGAGGUCAUCUUUCCCUGGACUGCUUGGCUACUUUAGAAGUCAAAUCAAGACUAGAAGUAUGAAAGCCAAUCACAAUUUCCCAACAAUUAGGAUCCAUCAUUCACCAUUUGGUUGGUCCCUGCUGCUAAGAAUUCCAAACUACAAGGGAAAAAGUUAAACUCAGCUAGAUUUCCCUGCCUGCUCAAGACCACAACCCCAGUGGCAACAUAAUUCUUGGUGAGGAUGAAAAAACGAAAUCUAUACUUGCCUUGAGAAAGCAUUCAUGCAAAAUAAAGCCCAGAUUCAUAAGUAA